GGUUGUUGGUGAGGUAACGGCUCACCAAGCCGAUAAUCGAUAGGGGCCGUGAGAGCGGGAGCCCCGAGAUGGGUACUUAGACAGCGACCCAGGCCUUACGAGGCGCAGCAGGCGCGAGACCUCCGCAAUACACGAAAGUGUGACGGGGUUACCCAUAGUGUCCAUAUUUGGACUGUGGUAGGUGAGUAAUGUCCCCUACUAGAAAGGAGAGGGCAAGGCUGGUGCCAGCCGCCGCGGUAAAACCAGCUCUUCAAGUGGUCGGGAUAAUUAUUGGGCUUAAAGUGUCCGUAGCCGGUUUAGUUAGUUCCUGGUAAAAUCGGGUAGCUUAACUAUCUGUAUGCUAGGAAUACUGCUAUACUAGAGGGCGGGAGAGGUCUGAGGUACUACAGGGGUAGGGGUGAAAUCUUAUAAUCCUUGUAGGACCACCAGUGGCGAAGGCGUCAGACUGGAACGCGCCUGACGGUGAGGGACGAAAGCCAGGGGAGCGAACCGGAUUAGAUACCCGGGUAGUCCUGGCCGUAAACGAUGCAUACUAGGUGAUGGCACGGCUAUGAGCCGUGUCAGUGCCGUAGGGAAACCGUUAAGUGUGCCGCCUGGGAAGUACGGUCGCAAGGCUAAAACUUAAAGGAAUUGGCGGGGGAGCACCACAAGGGGUGAAGCCUGCGGUUCAAUUGGACUCAACGCCGGGAAACUUACCAGGGGAGACAGUAGAAUGCAGGUCAGGUUGACGACCUUACCUAACGAGCUGAGAGGAGGUGCAUGGCCGUCGCCAGUUCGUGCUGUGAGGUAUCCUGUUAAGUCAGGCAACGAACGAGAUCCGCGCCUUUAUUUGCCAGCAAGAAGUUACGACUUCGUUGGGAACACUAAAGGGACCGCCGUCGAUAAGACGGAGGAAGGAGCGGGCAAAGGCAGGUCAGUAUGCCCCGAAACCCCUGGGCUACACGCGGGCUGCAAUGGUAUGAACAAUGGGCUGUAACCCCGAAAGGAGAAACCAAUCCCGAAAUCAUAUCUCAGUUGGAAUUGUCGGCUGUAACCCGCUGACAUGAACGUGGAAUCCCUAGUAAUCGUGUGUCAUCAUCGCACGGUGAAUACGUCUCUGCUCCUUGCACACACCGCCCGUCGCUCCAUCCGAGUGUACUAAAAAUGAGGUUUGGUCAAUCUGGUCGUAUCGAGUUUCUAGUAUGCGAGGAGGGAGAAGUCGUAACAAGGUA
rnacentral:rRNA from 1 species